UGGGGAAUUUUGGACAAUGGGGGGAACCCUGAUCCAGCCAUCCCGCGUGUGCGAUGAAGGCCUUCGGGUUGUAAAGCACUUUUGGCAGGAAAGAAACGUCGCGGGUUAAUACCCCGCGAAACUGACGGUACCUGCAGAAUAAGCACCGGCUAACUACGUGCCAGCAGCCGCGGUAAUACGUAGGGUGCAAGCGUUAAUCGGAAUUACUGGGCGUAAAGCGUGCGCAGGCGGUUCGGAAAGAAAGAUGUGAAAUCCCAGAGCUUAACUUUGGAACUGCAUUUUUAACUACCGGGCUAGAGUGUGUCAGAGGGAGGUGGAAUUCCGCGUGUAGCAGUGAAAAUGCGUAGAUAUGCGGAGGAACACCGAUGGCGAAGGCAGCCUCCUGGGAUAACACUGACGCUCAUGCACGAAAAGCGUGGGGAGCAAACAGGAUUAGAUACCCUGGUAGUCCACGCCCUAAAACGAUGUCAAACUAGCUGUUGGGGGGCCUUCGGGGCCUUGGUAGCGCAGCUAACGCGUGAAGUUGACCGCCUGGGGAGUACGGUCGCAAGAUU
rnacentral:rRNA from 1 species